GAUGAACGCUGGCGGCGUGCCUAAUACAUGCAAGUCGAGCGAAUGGAUUGAGAGCUUGCUCUUAUGAAGUUAGCGGCGGACGGGUGAGUAACACGUGGGUAACCUGCCCAUAAGACUGGGAUAACUCCGGGAAACCGGGGCUAAUACCGGAUAACAUUUUGAACCGCAUGGUUCGAAAUUGAAAGGCGGCUUCGGCUGUCACUUAUGGAUGGACCCGCGUCGCAUUAGCUAGUUGGUGAGGUAACGGCUCACCAAGGCAACGAUGCGUAGCCGACCUGAUAGGGUGAUCGGCCACACUGGGACUGAGACACGGCCCAGACUCCUACGGGAGGCAGCAGUAGGGAAUCUUCCGCAAUGGACGAAAGUCUGACGGAGCAACGCCGCGUGAGUGAUGAAGGCUUUCGGGUCGUAAAACUCUGCUGUUAGGGAAGAACAAGUGCUAGUUGAAUAAGCUGGCACCUUGACGGUACCUAACCAGAAAGCCACGGCUAACUACGUGCCAGCCGCCGCAGUAA
rnacentral:rRNA from 1 species